rnacentral:rRNA from 1 species
GGAAUAUGCCUUAUGGUGGGGGACAACAGUUGGAAACGACUGCUAAUACCGCAUAACAUCUCCGGAUCAAAGUGGGGGACCUUCGGGCCUCACGCCAUAAGAGUAGCCCAAGUGGGAUUAGCUAGUUGGUAAGGUAAUGGCUUACCAAGGCGACGAUCCCUAGUUGGUCUUAGAGGAUGACCAGCCACACUGGAACUGAGACACGGUCCAGACUCCUACGGGAGGCAGCAGUGGGGAAUAUUGCACAAUGGAGGAAACUCUGAUGCAGCCAUGCCGCGUGUGUGAAGAAGGCUUUCGGGUUGUAAAGCACUUUCAGCGAGGAGGAAAGGGUAAUUCUUAAUAGGUAUUAUCUGUGACGUUACUCGCAGAAGAAGCACCGGCUAACUCCGUGCCAGCAGCCGCGGUAAUACGGAGGGUGCGAGCGUUAAUCGGAAUUACUGGGCGUAAAGCGCGCGUAGGCGGUUAAUUAAGUCAGAUGUGAAAUCCCAGGGCUCAACCUUGGAACUGCAUUUGAAACUGGUUAACUAGAGUUUUGUAGAGGGUGGUAGAAUUUCAGGUGUAGCGGUGAAAUGCGUAGAGAUCUGAAGGAAUACCAGUGGCGAAGGCGGCCACCUGGACAAAGACUGACGCUGAGGCGCGAAGGCGUGGGGAGCAAA